CUUGUAUAAACCCUAACUCCAGCUUCCACAGGCAACCAUGGGAUGUGCAACUCACAUGACACCACUGAGUUUAAGGUUUCUUGCCUUACUCAUCAGUAAUUUCUGUGUCCUCAUGGCCUGGGGCUGCACAGCUCAGAUCUUAGAAGGCAGCUAGCGGUUGUGAUCUCAAAGCCCCAUCUCAGCCCUGUACACACUGCUCUGCCUGUCCAGCAUCAUGAAGACCCUCGUGGUUGGCCUCUUGGUCCUCCUCUGCACAAUGAUGCUCUGCUCCUGUGAACAAGAUAAGACUCAUCACCCGUCUGACUGCUGCAUUUCCUUCGUCACCCAUCAGAUCCCCAAGAAUCAAGUGGUAGCCUAUAUAAGACCAAUGGCCUGUGCAUCAAACACGGUGUUAUAUUUCUGACCAAAACUAGAAAGUAUAUCUGCGCCAACCCCAGUGACCACUGGGUCCAGGACUACAUUAGGAAGCUGGACAGGAGUUCUUGAAGGAUCCAGCAAGAAUCAGUGACUGGAAGAUGGAGAGCCAAGGCAAUGAACCUGCAAUGCACAACUUAUCUCUCCUGUGGGGCCCUCCCUACUCCACUAACCUGUUUCUAAUGAGUUAAACAACUUAAAUUUAAAUCCUGUUACUCACCUGAUGUUUCCCCCAGCAGUUAAACAGCACCCUCUUACUCCUUGGCCCUUUCCCAGUCAUUCACACAGUGGCUGACUGAUAAUUAUGAAAGACUGUGCUCCAUUCUCCAGGAUUAGAGCAAACCUAUCAGCCGAUGCUUACUGAGUUUUUAGGAGCCCUUUAUGCUAUCCCAACCAGUGUCAGAAUAAUAAAAAGUAUUCUUCUAUUCUGAAGUAAACU
ensembl:lincRNA